GAUGAACGCUGGCGGCGUGCCUAAUACAUGCAAGUCGAGCGAACAGACGAGGAGCUUGCUCCUCUGACGUUAGCGGCGGACGGGUGAGUAACACGUGGAUAACCUACCUAUAAGACUGGGAUAACUUCGGGAAACCGGAGCUAAUACCGGAUAAUAUAUUGAACCGCAUGGUUCAAUAGUGAAAGACGGUUUUGCUGUCACUUAUAGAUGGAUCCGCGCCGCAUUAGCUAGUUGGUAAGGUAACGGCUUACCAAGGCGACGAUGCGUAGCCGACCUGAGAGGAGGCGGGCCACCAGGGGAGCGGGGCCCGGCCCGAGCCUCUGCGGGGGGGAGCAGGAGGGAAUUCUCCCGAAUGGGGGAAAGGCGGGGGGAGACCGCCCGGGGGGGGGAAUAAGGUUUUGCGGAUCUAAAACCUUUUUUAUGGGGAAAAAAAAAAUGUGAAAGAAAAUAUACACGUCUGGAGGUUCCCUAAUAAAAAACCCACGCCAAACUCCGCC
rnacentral:rRNA from 1 species